AGCAGCCGCGGUAAUUCCAGCUCCAAUAGCGUAUAUUAAAGUUGUUGCAGUUAAAAAGCUCGUAGUUGAAUUUCGGGGUUCUAUCAUUGGUCAAGCUAUUGUUUGUACUGAUGUUUAGAAUUUCUAUUUUUCUGGGGAAUCAUCAUAUUAUUAAUUUAACGUGAUGAGAAACCAGGACCUUUACCUUGAAAAAAUUAGAGUGUUCAAAGCAGGCUUAUGUCUGAAUACAUUAGCAUGGAAUAAUAGAAUAGGACGGUGGUCCUGUUUUGUUGGUUUCU
rnacentral:rRNA from 1 species